rnacentral:rRNA from 1 species
GUAGCAUAAUCAUUUGUCUUUUAAUUAAAGACUAGAACAAAAGAUUGAACAUUUUAAUUAAUAUAUUUAAAUUAAUUAAUUAAAUUUAUUUUAAAUGUAAAAAAACAUUUAUAAAUUAGA